CAUAAAAUGUUGAAGAGGAAAGAGAUUAGUAUCACGCUUACUUAGAGAGAAUCACCUUGGCUGGAAGUGAUUUUAAGCAGACUAAUUUUAUGCACCUCGGAGUCUUCUGCUGAAUGAUAUAGUAAGUAGAAGCGGCGACUCACCGUUAUUUGAGUUCAAGUUGAAAGUAACCAAAUGAUGUUACUCUAAACAGAGUGGAACCGCGUUUAUUUAGGCGUCUCUGUG
rnacentral:ncRNA from 1 species